rnacentral:rRNA from 1 species
UUAUCGGAGAGUUUGAUCCUGGCUCAGGACGAACGCUGGCGGCGUGCCUAAUACAUGCAAGUCGAGCGGACAGAUGGGAGCUUGCUCCCUGAUGUUAGCGGCGGACGGGUGAGUAACACGUGGGUAACCUGCCUGUAAGACUGGGAUAACUCCGGGAAACCGGGGCUAAUACCGGGUGCUUGUUUGAACCGCAGGGUGCAACCAAA